rnacentral:rRNA from 1 species
UACGGAGGGGGCUAGCGUUGUUCGGAAUUACUGGGCGUAAAGCGUGCGCAGGCGGUUGUGUAAGACAGAUGUGAAAUCCCCGGGCUCAACCUGGGAACUGCAUUUGUGACUGCACAGCUGGAGUGCGGCAGAGGGGGAUGGAAUUCCGCGUGUAGCAGUGAAAUGCGUAGAUAUGCGGAGGAACACCGAUGGCGAAGGCAAUCCCCUGGGCCUGCACUGACGCUCAUGCACGAAAGCGUGGGGAGCAAACAGG